UAAGAGAUAUAAUCUUUAAAUUUAAAGAAUUUGGCGGUGAAUUAAUUUGUUUAGAGGAAUUUGUUUAAUAAUUGAUAAUCCCCAAUUUAUCUUACCUUAAUUUAUUUAUUAGUAUGUAUAUCGCCGUUUAAAGGAGUAUGAAUAUCUUUAUAGAGAUAAUUUUCUUUAUAAUGUUAUUAUUUAAAUCAGGUCAAGAUGCAGUUUAUAUUAAGGGUAUAAAUGAAUUACAUUUAUGAUUAGUAAUUAUUAAUUAUUAUAUGAAAUUAUAGUAUGAAAGUGGAUUUACAGGUAAAUUAUUAGUAGAGUGGGUAUUUGAAUUUAAUUUUAAUUUAUGU
rnacentral:rRNA from 1 species